rnacentral:rRNA from 1 species
UACAGAGGUCCCAAGCGUUACUGAGAAUCACUGGGUUUAAAGGGUGCGUAGGUGGUCCGUUAAGUCAGGGGUGAAAUGCCGAGGCUCAACCUCGGAACUGCCUUUGAUACUGGCGAUCUUAGAGUCCGGGAGAGGUGAGUGGAACUCCGAGUGUAGAGGUGAAAUUCGUAGAUAUUCGGAAGAACACCAGUGGCGAAGGCGACUUACUGGACACAUAUUGACGCUGAGGUGCGAAAGCGUGGGGAGCAAACAGG